ensembl:ncRNA lncRNA:CR44562 long non-coding RNA:CR44562
GGAAAGUUAAGUUCAUUAAGUGUUAGUAUUUGAACCUCUGGCAGACAGCCUUGCCAUCGAUACCAAUCUGCGAAGCCCCUGCAUCCCCAUCGUCUCCGCUCCUCAUUUUGGCUGCAACUGCUGAUGAUGAGCAAAUUCAAGUGUUCUUGACCAGCCCCAGGGUGUUUGGACUUGGCCCGAUCCGUUUUGUUGGCCUCCACUUGCAGCUACUAGAUUUUUGGGCAUUUGGUCAUUCGGGAACACACGCACGCAGCGCAGCGCAGACACCUUUGAUAAGCCUACGAUUGGGAUUGGGGCUCAUACGACGCCCAUGGGUGGGUUUUCAACUGUGAACAUGAAGCAGGGGGUUGGGGCACCUGGAAAAGUGUAUUGGAAAUUAACUGACACAACUCGGGAUCCCGGAAGGGGGUUCAUAUCGAAUGUAGCCAAGAAAUGAGCACGAGACAGAAGCCUCCUUGUGGCAUUCAACUCAUGUGUCUGCCAAGUUUUGGAAAAUCCCAAAAAGUGGCUUCUUUGGCGGAAAAACAAGUUUUGCAUAAUUUCCAGAUUGGCUUCACCG